rnacentral:tRNA from 1 species
UCGGGAAUAGCUCAGUUGGUAGAGCAUAACCUUGCCAAGGUUGGGGUCGCGAGUUCGAGUCUCGUUUCCCGCUCCA